rnacentral:rRNA from 1 species
AUUGAACGCUGGCGGCAUGCCUUGCACAUGCAAGUCGAACGGCAGCGGACCUUCGGGUGCCGGCGAGUGGCGAACGGGUGAGUAAUAUAUCGGAACGUACCUUUCAGUGGGGGAUAACGUAGCGAAAGUUACGCUAAUACCGCAUAUUCUGUGAGCAGGAAAGCAGGGGAUCGCAAGACCUUGCGCUGAUUGAGCGGCCGAUAUCAGAUUAGCUAGUUGGUGAGGUAAAGGCUCACCAAGGCGACGAUCUGUAGCGGGUCUGAGAGGAUGAUCCGCCACACUGGAACUGAGACACGGUCCAGACUCCUACGGGAGGCAGCAGUGGGGAAUUUUGGACAAUGGGCGCAAGCCUGAUCCAGCCAUGCCGCGUGAGUG